UUCUUUACUUUUCUAGGCAGUCAGCCACCUAGUAGAGAAUUUUCGUACUGCCUUUUGGAAUCUCGUUUUAUCUUCUAUUUCUAUCGUCUGCUUAAUUCGUCUCGUGGUCUUGACUCGUGAACGUGACGCUGAAAAAUGGAUUGGUCGUUUGAAUUCGUUCUUUAUUUUUCAGUAUCUUUCAUACUACAUUUUUAAUUGAAAUAUGCAGCAUAUCGGAUUUUUCUAAUUUCUGUACAAGUUCAGUUUUUGUUUGAACUUUCAAUAUCCUAAUUUCUAUUCAUCGCUUGCUGGUCCAUAAACACAUUGUUGGAUUUCACAGCUUUUUUUGAGGACAGCAACUUUGUCUUCAUUGUUUUGGAGCUUUGAAAAAGAAGGAGUCUCAUGGAGCUGCACAAAAGAAGAAAAGCCAUCACGGAACCUGAAGCUCGCUUUUUCAUGCACCAACUUCUUCUUGGUGUAAAGCAUCUCCACGAAAACAAGUUCAUUCACUGAAAGUUGAAACUGGAUUAUCUUUCCCUCGAUGAAGACAUGGAGCUGAAGAUUGGAGACUUUUGCCUUACAACAAAGAUAGAUUCUGAUGGUCAUCCGUCAAUCUUUUCAUUUCCACAUGGCAAAAGCUCAUUUCAGCAAAUUGUAGAUGAAUGGAUUGAACAGUACAAAGCUGAUCGUGACUCAGGAUUGUGUGCCACAAUGCAGUAUGCAGUUCUUCAUUAGUGCUUCCGGAUGCAAAGGGAAAAUUAGCUCUCAAAUGCAAAGUAGCAUGGAACAUGCUGUGAUAAUCUGUCAUAUGACUGAAGAGUUUGAUGAAGGAAUUUAUGAAUACCCCAUAAUGAUGUCUGGUCCACAAUGGAAAAAAUUUUGAAGCAACUUCUGUGACUUCGUUCAGACACCUGUCAAGCAAUGCCAAACGUUCCAUCAUUUAUGAUCAGUACCUCAUGGAUAAUGUAAUUUUGCUACUUACUGGUCUUUCUGAUUUACCAGUAAGAGUGUUUCAUCAUACUGCUACACUUGCUGCUAUGAAAUUCAAUUUGGUUGGUUUAAGUGGCUCUGACUGCAUCGAUUCAUCUUGAUAACACGUCUCGUCAGUAUGAAGCAGAGCGUCAGAAAACUCGGGAUGAACGAGCCAGUGAUCGUCUCGAAGCGUUACUUGCCAAACACCAAGAACUUGAAAAAAACAUGGAAGAAAUUUAAAAAAUGUUGGCUUGCACAUUCAAGUCGGUUUUUGUCCAUCGUUACCGAGAUAUUGUUCCCAAUAUUCGAGCCAAUUGUAUGGUGGAAAUUGGCAUUUCGAUGAAGCGGUUCCCCCAAAAUUUCCUCGAUGACUCCUACCUCAAGUAUGUAUGUGGACUUUGAAUGACAAAGUGAAAUUUCGUGAAUGAAACGGCGAGCUUCUGUGACACUUUGUUUCUUCUGCGACUGCGGUGCCACGGACGACAGAUAAUGCCAGGCUUUGGUCCGCCGACCUUCUCAGCCGAAAGAAUACGCUCCCAUGCGUCCUCGAGACCGCCAGGAAAUCCACAGAGUCGGACCUAACGGCAGAGCUAUGGGAUUACGGUCGACGAAAGCUGCGUCUGCGGCAUUUUUGUCAAACAGCAACAUCGCACCGUGGAACGCCGUCUGAUUAGCCGCCUUAUUUUCCGCUUCCUGUUGGACUGCAACGUCUCCACCGUCCGCUGGCAUGCGCACGCCCUAGUCCCCCCAUUUUGUCGCCAUUCUACCGUGGCCCAGCAGCAAGACCUGGUCGCUCUCAUGUGGUCUCUGUGGUUUGGCCUCCAACUCGACAGCCGAAAACUUCUCAGUUUGUCGAUCUGCUUGGUUAUUUCACCAUCAAAACUCCCGGGAUGGAAAAUUCACUACCCGACCUAGACGCCGACCCACAUCAUCAAGUUGGUUGGGAGCCACGUCGUCAACCGCUUUGCUCUGCGCAUUACAGACAUCAAACAAACGAAAUUGGUGCCCCACCAUCAACAUUUUCUACAACAACAGACCCGUCCAGGCCGCCGUUGAGCUCAAGAACCGGCCCGGCGUUUGGCUCAAGGCUAAGAAGCUGUCGUUGACACC